ACGGUUCACUUCAGCUUCACACUCAUGCCUGCUCGGAGAUAAUUAAUAAAACCUUCCAGCUUUCUGAAUUGUGAAAGUGCAUACUCUCCUGCCAGUGGAAAUUUCCGAUUGUUACACAGUCUCACCCCAGAGAUGGACUUGCUUUACCUUCAUGAGAUCCAUAUUUCUGCGGGAAGCCUGGUGAGCAGAGGAGACUGAAGAUGGAGAGAGAGCCUGGACCUCAACAUGAGCAUUUGGAGCCAUUUGGCAGCAUUAGGCUGUGACCGCUUGGAGAACCGAAAGAAAAGAGAAAACAUUCCAAUGAAAGAGGAAACAGGAAAUUCCAACAGAUCAGCAACAGUUGGAGUGCUAACCUGUCAGUGGAAUGGAAAAAAGAAAAAAUGCUCUUGUUGACACAUCUUUUCCUUGUUUUUGACACAAAUUAGGUAACUCCCUGACUUACUGUCUCUUCACAAAAUUGGUGGGGGUGUGAAAAAUGUCUAUGCAGUAUAUAGAGAUAUUCAUAACAAAGACUUAUGCUAUGAAAAAUGUCCUUUGUUCACAAAAGAAAGAAUAACUCAUGCUCUACAUAAUUUGCACCUAUAUAUUUUGCUGUUGUAAAUCCUGGCUUGCUCACUAAGCUGAAGUUCAUUUUCUCACCGUGAUUCUUGAGCCCAAAACUCUGAUGAAUCAAAAGGAUCAAAUAUUGGGCUCCUACAUUUUAUGUGCAGUAGUUGUGCAGUUCACCUCACUGCGUCUGCAUUAAAGCCCCCACUUUAAUGAAAAGGAUUGUUUUUUAUUCUCAAAAGCAAUUUUGAAAUUCUGACUCAGAGACUUUUUAUUCCUGUCUUGUGUUUCCUGAAAGAAUAAUCCCAGAUACAAGGAUAAUUACCCUAUUUUUGAUUAUUUAAAAAUAUAUUCAAUAUUCA
rnacentral:lncRNA from 1 species